rnacentral:rRNA from 1 species
CAACCUACCUAUCAGAGGGGAAUAACCCGGCGAAAGUCGGACUAAUACCGCAUAAAACAGGGGCACCGCAUGGUGGUAUUUGUUAAAGAAAUUCGCUGAUAGAUGGGCAUGCGUUCCAUUAGGUAGUUGGUGAGGUAACGGCUCACCAAGCCGACGAUGGAUAGGGGAACUGAGAGGUUGGUCCCCCACACUGGUACUGAGACACGGACCAGACUCCUACGGGAGGCAGCAGUGAGGAAUAUUGGUCAAUGGGCGAGAGCCUGAACCAGCCAAGUCGCGUGAAGGAAGGAGGAUCUAUGGUUCGUAAACUUCUUUUGCAGGGGAAUAAAGUGCGGGACGUGUCCUGUUUUGUAUGUACCCUGAGAAUAAGGAUCGGCUAACUCCGUGCCAGCAGCCGCGGUAAUACGGAGGAUCCGAGCGUUAUCCGGAUUUAUUGGGUUUAAAGGGUGCGUAGGUGGUUUGAUAAGUCAGCGGUGAAAGUUUGCAGCUUAACUGUAAAAAUGCCGUUGAAACUGUCGGACUUGAGUGUAAAUGAGGUAGGCGGAAUGCGUGGUGUAGCGGUGAAGUGCAUAGAUAUCACGAAGAACUCCGAUUG